rnacentral:miRNA from 2 species
GACCUUUUGAUGUACUACUUUAAA